rnacentral:rRNA from 1 species
UACGUAGGGUGCAAGCGUUUGUCCGGAAUUAUUGGGCGUAAAGAGCUCGUAGGCGGUCUGUCGCGUCGGCUGUGAAAACCCGGGGCUCAACCCCGGGCCUGCAGUCGAUACGGGCAGACUAGAGUGUGGUAGGGGAGACUGGAAUUCCUGGUGUAGCGGUGAAAUGCGCAGAUAUCAGGAGGAACACCGGUGGCGAAGGCGGGUCUCUGGGCCGUAACUGACGCUGAGGAGCGAAAGCGUGGGGGAGCGAACAGG